CCUACGGGAGGCAGCAGUAGGGAAUCUUCCACAAUGGACGAAAGUCUGAUGGAGCAACGCCGCGUGAGUGAAGAAGGGUUUCGGCUCGUAAAGCUCUGUUGGUAGUGAAGAAAGAUAGAGGUAGUAACUGGCCUGUAUUUGACGGUAAUUACUUAGAAAGUCACGGCUAACUACGUGCAAGCAGCCGCGGUAAUACGUAGGUGGCAAGAGUGGUCCGGAUUUAUUGGGCGUAAAGCGAGUGCAGGCGGUUCAAUAAGUCUGAUGUGAAAGCCUUUGGCUCAACCGGAGAAUUGCAUCAGAAACUGUUGAACUUGCGUGCAGAAGAGGAGUGUGGAACUCCAUGUGUAGCGGUGGAAGGCGUAGAUAUAUGGAAGAACACCAGUGGCGAAGGCGGCUCUCUGGUCUGCAACUGACGCUGAGGCUCGAAAGCAUGGGUAGCGAACAGGAUUAGAUACCCGUGUAGUC
rnacentral:rRNA from 1 species